GUCUGUGCGGUGAGUUAUAUGCACAGUCUGGCCUGCCCCCUGAAUUUUAAAGGGCCGCGGUAUUUGAACCGUGCUAAGGUAGCAUAAUAAAUAGUCUUUUAAUUAGAGUCUAGUAUGAAUGGUCGGACGUGAGGUAAGCUGUUUUAGCUGUGAGAAUAGAAUUUUACUUUUAAGUCAAAAGGCUUAAAUUAAAUGGUGGGACGAUAAGACCCUAUAAAGCUUUACACUGUGUUCAUUAGUCGGGAGAUUUAAAGUUUCUUAUUCUUAUUGGAUGAGGUGUUUCGUUGGGGCGAUGAAAAUAUAAAGUGAUAACUGUUUUUAUUAAAAAAUAUGUUUUUAUAGGCGAUUUGAUCCUUUUUAUAGAUUAAAAGAUUUAAGUUACUUUAGGGAUAACAGCGUAAUUUUUCUUGAGAGUUCAUAUCGACAGAUGUAGUUGCGACCUCGAUGUUGAAUUAAAAUACCCCCAAGGUGUAGCAGUUUUGGUGGUGGGUCUGUUCGACCUUUAAAAUUUUACAUGAUUUGAGUUCAGACCGGCGUA
rnacentral:rRNA from 1 species